rnacentral:misc_RNA from 1 species
GAUGAAGAACGUAGCGAAAUGCGAUAAGUAAUGUGAAUUGCAGAAUUCAGUGAAUCAUCGAAUCUUUGAACGCACAUUGCGCCCGCCAGUAUUCUGGCGGGCAUGCCUGUUCGAGCGUCAUUUCAACCAUCAAGCCCUGCUUGCGUUGGGGUCCUGCGGCUGCCCGCAGGCCCUGAAAACCAGUGGCGGGCUCGCUAGUCACACCGAGCGCAGUAAUACAUCUCGCUUUGGGCGUGCGGCGGGUUCUUGCCGUUAAACACCCCCUUUUUACCAAGGUUGACCUCGGAUCAGGUAGGAAUACCCGCUGAACUGAAGCAUAUCAAUAAGCGGAGGA